rnacentral:rRNA from 1 species
GACGAACGCUGGCGGCGUGCCUAAUACAUGCAAGUCGAGCGGAUCAUUUCCUACGGGGAAUGGUUAGCGGCGGACGGGUGAGUAACACGUAGGUAACCUGCCUGUAAGAUCGGGAUAACUAUCGGAAACGAUAGCUAAGACCGGAUAACUGGUUUUCUCGCAUGAGAGAAUCAUGAAACACGGUUCCGAUUUAAUUCGGGCUGUGGCUUACAGAUGGGCCUGCGGCGCAUUAGCUAGUUGGUAGGGUAACGGCCUACCAAGGCGACGAUGCGUAGCCGACCUGAGAGGGUGAACGGCCACACUGGGACUGAGACACGGCCCAGACUCCUACGGGAGGCAGCAGUAGGGAAUCUUCCGCAAUGGACGCAAGUCUGACGGAGCAACGCCGCGUGAGUGAUGAAGGUUUUCGGAUCGUAAAGCUCUGUUGCCCUAGACGAACAGCAAGGCGAGUAACUGCGCUUUGUGUGACG